rnacentral:rRNA from 1 species
GAUGAACGCUGGCGGCGUGCCUAAUACAUGCAAGUCGAGCGAACAGACGAGGAGCUUGCUCCUUUGACGUUAGCGGCGGACGGGUGAGUAACACGUGGGUAACCUACCUAUAAGACUGGGAUAACUUCGGGAAACCGGAGCUAAUACCGGAUAAUAUUUCGAACCGCAUGGUUCGAUAGUGAAAGAUGGCUCUGCUAUCACUUAUAGCUGGACCUGCGCCGUAUUAGCUAGUUGGUAAGGUAACGGCUUACCAAGGCAACGAUACGUAGCCGACCUGAGAGGGUGAUCGGCCACACUGGAACUGAGACACGGUCCAGACUCCUACGGGAGGCAGCAGUAGGGAAUCUUCCGCAAUGGGCGAAAGCCUGACGGAGCAACGCCGCGUGAGUGAUGAAGGUCUUCGGAUCGUAAAACUCUGUUAUUAGGGAAGAACAAACGUGUAAGUAACUGUGCACGUCUUGACGGUACCUAAUCAGAAAGCCACGGCUAACUACGUG